rnacentral:rRNA from 1 species
UACGUAGGGGGCAAGCGUUGUCCGGAAUUAUUGGGCGUAAAGAGCGCGUAGGCGGUCCGAUUAAGUCGGCUGUGAAAGUCAGGGGCUCCAACCCUUGGAAGCCGGCCGAUACUGUCGGACUAGAGUCCGGAAGAGGCGAGUGGAAUUCCCGGGUGUAGCGGUGAAAUGCGCAGAUAUCGGGAGGAACACCAAUGGCGAAGGCAGCUCGCUGGGACGGUACUGACGCUGAGGCGCGAAAGCGUGGGGAGCAAACAGGG